GAAGGCUCCUUGGAAAUCUGGGUAAGAGAGGGAGGGGGCCUGAGCCAAGACACUGGGUGAAGAAUGGAGGCAAGUCAACAGCUCCAAGAAUGGCUCAAGAAACAGGAUUGGAAAGGGUCUUCAUGAGAACAAGGUGGAGGCUGGAUGCAUUUUACAGUUCUCAUUGAUGAUCUACUUAGUAGGUGGGAAGAAUUACUGUGAGGAGGUUUCAAAGCUUCUAGAGCCUUUAACAACUCAAUGUCCUGAUCCAAAUAAGAAAGGAAAUGAUCUGGAAGCAGCCCACUGUCUUUGGCAGUGACAAAGAGACACUGAUCUAUGUACAGGAAAGAAAAAACUUCUUUCAGGAUCUCAGAGUUUGUGGUCAACAUGGAAGAGCCAAUGGAUGGUCUUCGGCCUUCUAGCAAAAGGCACACUUACUUGCCAGUGUGUCCUCAAAUACCAGCUGAUCAGCAGUACAAGUUGCUGGGUUUGUUCCUGUGGGGAUCUUAUCCAGAUUGUUCUAAGGCUGAGCAGGGCAGGAACUGAAAGAAGACCUUGGCUGGUAAAUUCAUCUUCCUGGAGUCUGUGAAGAACUCACCACUCAAUCCAGAUCACAAAUGGAAACAUUCCACAUGGACACUAUCUCCCAUGAGUAGGAAGCCUGGCCGUCCCCAUUCAUCAGGGCCUUCCAGUGCUGAAACGGGCGAAGUCCCAGGCAAAUAGGAUGAGCUGGUCACCCUAGUCCUGCCCCCCACUUUGAGCUCAAGCUGCCAUUUUGAAUAGUAUCCUUUUCAGUGGUGAUUUCGGAAAAACGAUUGGCAGUUUGGGGUCAACCUCGUUGGGAAAGAAAGAAAAUCAAUUUGGCCAACUGCAUCUACUCUAUCCAUCCUUUCUGACAGAAAGGAUAUUGGUGUAGCUAGGUGGUGGGCGCCCACUCUGAAGCAGAUGUGAUGGGCUUAAAUCCUAGCUCUCUUCUAUAUAAUGGGAACGUUCCUAAGUCACGCCUCAUCUAAGAAAUGGUAUCGAAAGUGCUGAACACCGUGUCUGGCUUGUACAACGUAGGCCCUUUGCCUGGCUCCCUGGGGUGCCCAGGCCCGGAACAGCACCUAGAAGGAGACCACACUCUGUACAUGUUGACUAGAUGCCUGGAUGAACGAGCAUGGUGUUGACAUGAGCAGUAAGGGCUCAUCCAGAGGGGCCCUGGGUAAGAGCCCGGCCCUGCGCGAAGCCAUCUACUAACAUCUUCUCAGCCUCCCAAGGAAGGCAGCUGUACCUUCACGAUUGAGAAAAACCAGAGCGCAGGAACAUUAAGUGACUUAUCCAGUGACCAGUGUCAAGACUGGCAGAGUCCAACGCACUUUUUUUGGUGCCCAAAGUCAAAAGGUUUCCACCUUGCCAGAGGGCAAGGAGGGUCUAGAAGAGGAAGACACGGGAAAGGGUAUGUGAGACCCUCACCAGGGCUGCCCUCACCGCAGACAAAAAGACCCACGUAAGUGCGGACGAUCUGCAGGCAUCAGGCUCUCAAUCAUGAAACUUCCAUCGAGCACCGUCGGGCUCUGUGCUGCCGGCUCGGAGCCUGGAGCCUGCUUCUGAUUCUGUGUCUCCCUCUCUCUCUCUCUCUGGCCCUCCCCUGCUCGUGCUCUGUGUCAAAAAUAAGCCUUAAUCACAC